rnacentral:tRNA from 1 species
GCUUGACUGGCUCUGUCAGUAGAGCAUGGGACUCUUGAUCUUGGGGUCGUGAGUUCGAGCCCCAUGUUGGACA